GAAAUUACAUGAAAUAUCUUUACUAAAUUACAUGAAUUGCUAAAGUAAGAUAGACAAAACAUACACAAUUACUUAAAAUACAUUUUAUUUAUGAAGCACUUUUCAGGGUACUCAAAGACAAUUUACAUAAAUUCAAAUUAUUAUAGAAAAUAGCACACUAUAACACAUUAAAAUCGAUUCUUGUAUUUAG